GGUUGACCUCGGAUCAGGUAGGGAUACCCGCUGAACUUAAGCAUAUCAAUAAGCGGAGGAAAAGAAACCAACCGGGAUUGCCUCAGUAACGGCGAGUGAAGCGGCAAGAGCUCAAAUUUGAAAUCUGGCCCCUCCGGGGUCCGAGUUGUAAUUUGCAGAGGAUGCUUCGGAUGCGGCCCCCGUCUAAGUCCCCUGGAACGGGGCGUCGGAGAGGGUGAGAAUCCCGUCUGGGACGGGGUGUCCGCGUCCGUGUGAAGCUCCUUCGACGAGUCGAGUUGUUUGGGAAUGCAGCUCUAAAUGGGUGGUAAAUUUCAUCUAAAGCUAAAUACUGGCCGGAGACCGAUAGCGCACAAGUAGAGUGAUCGAAAGAUGAAAAGCACUUUGAAAAGAGAGUUAAAAAGCACGUGAAAUUGUUGAAAGGGAAGCGUAUGCGACCAGACUCGCCGGCGGGGUUCAACCGGGAUUCGUCCCGGUGUACUUCCCCGCCGGCGGGCCAGCGUCGGUUUGGGCGGCCGGUCAAAGGCCUCCGGAAUGUAUCGCCCCCCGGGGCGUCUUAUAGCCGGAGGUGCAAUGCGGCCUGCCCGGACCGAGGAACGCGCUUCGGCACGGACGCUGGCAUAAUGGUCGUAUAUGACC
rnacentral:rRNA from 1 species